UUUAAAGUCUAUUUACUCAUAAACCUAGAAUACGUGAAUUCGGGGAUUUCUCUCGAUAAUUUCAGUCCCUAGUGUCGCUAGUAAUUAUAAAGCGAAGUCUUAUCAGACUAAUUGAUUGAACUUUAAUUUUCGGAUAAUCCCAUUCUCAGGAAUACGCUUCCUAUAUUUUGGAAUUUGCUAAAUUUCAGGCGGACUAUCAAUCAUUUAGAUUGCCUCCGAACUCAAC
rfam:Prochlorococcus marinus str. MIT 9515, complete genome.